rnacentral:tRNA from 1 species
ACGGGCAUAGUUUAAAGGUAGAACUAAGGUCUCCAAAACCUUUGUCGCGAGUUCGAUUCUCGUCACCCGCU